CAGCCGCGCGGUGAGCACAGAGCGAACUAUUCUUUCGCCUUUUACUAAAGAAUACCGUGUGCCCGCCGCAAUCGCCGGCAUACGCCAAUUUUUUCAAAGGGUUUCCUUCUCAAGGAUAU